AAGCAAUUUGCUCAUAGCCAUAGCUUUCUUGUGAAAGUAGGAUAUUAACCCAGGUGUCUUGGUGCUGGAGAACAGAACUGGCCAGAGUCCAUCCUGUCUCCCACCGGCAUCCCAUUACGAAAUGAACACAGAAAAGGCAGGUCUGCAAUGCCAACAUCUAGUAUCUAUCCCAAAGACCAGGGAGAAAGGAAGGAAAGAUUCUGGUUCUGUCCUCUUCCCCAAGGCAAGGCUGGCUGCCCUACCAACAGAGGCAAAGAGAAGAGUGUGCAAGGCUGGCUGCCCUCCCAACAGAGGCAAAGAGGAGUGUGUGUUGAAAUAUCCAUUGAAUCCCUGAGACAACUGGAUCCUGGCCCAUUGAAUCAUAAACUCAUUUCAGAGAAGAUGAAACUGAUGUGCGUCAAAAAGUUAUGGAGGCUGGGAAGACCUAGAAUGUGGCAUCACUAUUUGGAAACCAUGCCGAUUACCGACCGAGCUCUCAAUGGAAAAAUGCAGUCGGCGUGAACCACGCACGAACACAGCAGAGAAAGAAGAAAACACACACCACGAGGAACCCUAAUAGGACAAUACAUUAUAAGCCUCAUGGUACAUCCACUUGGUGUGCUGGGAGAGUCAGGAUGAGGACCUGAGAAGAACAGCAGCUUGAACCUGACUUCAUUUAACAGCCCACUGCCCUCUUGCCAAGAACCCAUCACAGACCUUCCCAGAAGAGAGGGAUGAGCCUCACCUAUGAAUAAGUCCUCAGAAACUCAAAUUUGAUUCUAAUGGAUUGUUUUCUCAGAAAGACUGAGCAUGUCCCCCCACAUCUCUGUCAUUUCCCACAGUAGUAACCUCUGCAGAUGCCACAUAGAAAACAAAACAAAACAAAAAAACAUGAGGUUGGUGGGCAGAUAGGCAGGGUAUAAACAAACAGCCUUGUAACCCAGAAGCUGUGUGAUAUACAGUAAACUUCACAACACUGAAAAGAUGUCCUAUCUGUUAAAAUGGGGUAAUAACAACUACCCGAAUGUUUAGGAAUAGAACUUCAAUAAAUGAUACAUUUUAUAGUACAGCAGACCAUCCUGUAAAGGUUUCAUCCUUCACUGUGGUGAUAAAUAUCCCAAACCACAUUGAAAAGCAUUGCAUCUACAUUUAUCUACACUGUAACUGUACUGUAAAUCAUGGGGGAGGGGAGAAUCAUAAAAACACCACCUGUCACCGUGUCAUUAAAGCAAGUUGGAAGUGAUACUUACAGAAACACAGCAAGAGCACCCCCAGUCACACAGUUCAAUCUCUUAGCAAGCGUUUUCUUUCUAGCCCAGUGGUUCUCAGUUUGGAAUUUUUGGCACUGCCUAGAGAUAGUUUUGUUGUUAAAACUGAGAAAAGAGCCGGGCGUGGUGGCACACGCCUUUAAUCCCAGCACUCAGGAGGCAGAGGCAGG
rnacentral:lncRNA from 1 species